rnacentral:lncRNA from 1 species
GUCGCCAUUACAGGAUGACGCUGGCUCCGCUGUGGUCUGUGACAAACAACUCCUUAUCUGGGAGAGUUGGCACAUGAUUUUUCACCACCCUGUGAGAAAGCUCCACGCGGCAGCUUUGCAUUGGGGCUUGGGAUGCUUUAUUAAGGCUGGGAGGGGCAUCAGAGAGGGAGAAGAAGAAAUAUCAAGGGCCUGAAUAAACUGCUGAAAAAGAAGAUUCCUGAGUUGCGUCUUCCUUGCGGGCAAGGGGUCGCGACAAGUGGUGCCGAGACCCGGGAACCAGAACUUUCAGCAGUCAGGGGUGGUGCACCGGUUAGUCCCAGAUUUUAUGAUUCCAGAAAUGCCUCCCACAUCAUCGGGGAGUAUCCAUCCGGAACCUGGUCCAUGGAAGCAGAAAACUUGAUCCAGUCUCAACUAACUCAGAUUGCUGUUUUGANACACUAGUGCUUUUCUAUCGCCUUAAAGUCCGUGCCUUUCUUUCAGGGUGCUGUCAACUUGUUUGUCAUUAUAAACAGCCACAGUUCAGCCUCAGCUAUCCCCCUUCGUCCACCAUCGUCACGAUACAGGAUGCGAGGCAAGGCACUGCACUUGAGUGAUCCUUGACGUGGACCUCAAGGAGAGCAUGUCCUAUUGCAUGCGGGUUAGACGCGUUCACGCCCCGCCCCACGAAAAAAGGCGUCGGCUGAUAUGGCCUCAGAUCUGGGGAAGGGCCCUCCUUAGGACUGAGUCAUACUAUGCAGCCACUUCUGCACAGUGGGAUAGGACCUCUACUCUCGCCUGUAUUGUUUUAAGAAAACAGAAAAGGGGGAACUGUGGUGAGCCGCUUCUGCCGUUUCUGCAGACUAUGGUCGCCAUUACAAGAUGACGCUGGCUCCACUGUGGUCUGUGACAAACAACUCCUUAUCUGGGAGAGUUGGCACAUGAUUUUUCACCACCCUGUGAGAAAGCUCCACGCGGCAGCUUUGCAUUGGGGCUUGGGAUGCUUUAUUAAGGCUGGGAGGGGCAUCAGAGAGGGAGAAGAAGAAAUAUCAAGGGCCUGAAUAAACUGCUG